CAGCUCUCAAUAAAUUCAAAACUUACCCUUACUUUUGACACUUCGUGUAAUUCCGUCUCGAUCGGGUUCGAAGUAUCACUUCAGGUGCAUCAUCUCUGUGUGAGGAAAGUCUUGUUAAUAUGGCGGCGAUGAGGUAAACAGAUAGGAAGUGAUGGAGUGGCAGACCCACGGGGGAUAACCACAUGAGCACACACACUGAUUUCCAGGAAGGGGUCAUUAAUGUGAGGAGGAAAAAAAAAACCCGAAUCUAGUCAUGGCUUUAAAAUGGAGCAUCCUCUCAUAACGAACGGGUCUGAGUCAGGAGAACAGCGCAGCGAAGGUUUUAAUUCCUCCAUUUAAGAGACAAAAUGCAUCAUAGUUUAAAAUUUUAUUUGAGAAUAACUCCCUUAAGUGGUAGCAGAGUUCAUCUUAACCUGGCCGAUAAACGAAUAAAAAUGAUCAGCUUUUCGUUCUCUACACACCAGCCCUCUUUAUAGAAACACAGCAGUGGUUUUAACAUCCGUACAGUAGUUAAAUGUUCACAUUUAACAGUCGUAAUUGACAUUUUCCCUCACUCCCUUCAGCAAUGAUAUAUCAAAGAGUGCAUCAGCCGCCGGAGGAGGAGAGAAAACAUUAGGAGGAUUAAUAAAGGGGGGAGGGAAAUAGAUUGAGCGUUCACCGAGAUCAGUAAAAUAGGAUCUGUCAAGCAACCCUGCAACAUCCAUCCUUUGGAGAGAAAAAAAAAAAAAAAGACAGAGGUACAUUUUCAUGGAUGGAAGGAAGGAAAAAACAGAGGCCAGCCUCUGCGGCUGAUCAAUUUCCCGAGAUUAGCUUUCAGCGGCUGAGCCUGCUUCCAUUUGUAAAGAUAAUAUUAUUUAAUAACCCUUUUGGGUGACUAUUUAAAUUAUCAUAGUGCCUACAGUGCGAGGCGCUAAUGGAAAUAUUUAACAUAAAUUCCCUUUUAAAAAAAAUGAGGCCUUAAACAACAGUUGUAAGAAUUAUUCGGAAAUUAAAGGAGUGUGCAUAAAUGAUUCUCCCUGGCCUUGACGCGCUGUUCUCAAUUACAUUCUGCUCAACUGGAACAAUGGAACGAUGCUAGCGUGCCGCUUUAUCGCGCAUAUAUAUGCGCUCUUACGAAUGUCAUAUGGGAGCUAUUUACGGCCACUAGCAUCAGUGCCAAGGGCAUUGAAAACAUGCAGCAAUUCUGAAUGUGCAAAAGAGCAGUACAGUAAGGUAAAUUUCAAAGACAGACAUCUGAAGAUCCAAAACGAAGGAAGAAAGAGACAAAGCCAGCCUGUAUCAACUUCUUUUUAAUGAUCUCAUUGCGAAACACCUUCCCCUUUCCUGUCUUGCUAACAUUAAAUUGCAUAAUGCCAACUGAACGCUCGCAUUUGUUCCCCCUUUCCCUUCUCAGGAAAUCUAUUUCAAUUUUCACGCCAACUGUCAGUCCGCAUCAAACCUUGAUUUAUGCAAAAACAACGUCUGCUUUAAUUAGUCAUUUCGGCUCAGUGCUGCCUGUGCUCUAGGCGCUGAGCGGGGUCAGGCAUUCGGAGGAACCUCCUUUUUGAAUGAUCAAAACUAGGCCAUCGGCAACACCGUGAUAAUAGCCACGUCUCAACACCACAGCAGCAUGCGAGAGUGUGUGUUCGAGUGUGUAUUUAUCCCCCAUGAGCCGUCCAUCUCCACUCGGCAGGGUGGUUUUGGGUGGAGCUUGGGUAAUCACAGCAGUCACUAUACACCUGGAGGACUGGAAAAUAAUAAACAAUUAACAGGUAGUUUUUCCCGUCAGCUCUCUAUACUUUCCCAGGCAGAGCGAGCGAGAGAGAGAGAGAGAGAGAGUGGAGGGAACAAUGUUUACACAGCAAUAUUACAUUAAUCAAGACAAAAUGAUCUCAAAUACACCACAUUAUGCUCUUGUACGGGAUUAGCGUCCGUGAUCUUCCAAACGAAAGCAAACCACACCAUGUGUUUUUGCUCGUUUCGGAUUGCAACACUUCUUGAUUGCCGCAAUCGCAAUCACGUAGAGCAAACAAAAGUGGCUGAACGCUUGUGCUAAUUUCACAGACUGACAUUUCAGAUGAAAAAUUCACCAGACAGAUGCUCAGAAGAGAGCAGUUCUCUCGUCGGAUGUUGGGGAAGUGCGUGUGAGUUGUGAGUAACGACGGUCACAUGAAUGGGGAGGGCAGACAAACUUAUUCUCACCACCAAUUCUAUUUUGGGGUCUGUGUGCUGCAUGCUUUGCUGACUGAAGUGGCAUUGUGUCCUUUGUGAAAGCAUGACCCUCUGAGGUGCGUUCAUUUGCUGUGAACCUCGGCCAGGAAAAAAGCAGGAGGCUGGAGACCAGGGCAAGGCGUGGGAAAGCGACUAGAGAACGAGCGAACGGUGGAAAAGCCGAGAGAUCUGCUGGCAUUCCUUUGUGAUUACACAUCUGUGGAGAAGGAGGCCAGACAUUCUUUCAGCCGGUGUCCGAAGCUGCUGACUUCUACCCUCGAUCUCUGCGCUGUUGUUUCUGUAGGAAAAAAGAAGAAAAGAAACUCAGCUGUGAACGUUUUAUUUGGUGACUGGAGACUUUGUGUUUCCUAAUACAGAAGCAUGACGCUCGCUGAAUCAGCCCCUUUCAACUUUGUACUCUGAUGUAAAGUCUCAGAACUCAAGCUUGUGUCCUUGUUCUCGCAAUGAGAUAUGAGAUUUCAGUGUUGAGCGCUCAUGUUCUGCACUUCCUUCCUCUUUUGCAAUUCCUUAAUCCAGUCAUCCACUGGUGGGAGGCCGAACAUGACAGCAGACGGACAAGGCAAACACUGGUGGGGGUGGUGCUUGUGUUCCUUCUUUGUUCUGAUGCUGACCUCUUCAUUAAAGGGCCUUUGUCACCAUGUAAGGAUUAAGAGUGAAAGAGAGCUCUUCUUAGUCAGGGUUCAAAUCUGUCUCCUCAUAAAAUGCUCUUCCAUAUGUGCCCAUCAAUGCAAUGUGGCUGUGAUCUUUUAUAACAUUUGCUUUAAGGAUUCCAAAGAUGUUUCCUCUCACCCUACUCUUUUAAAAACUGAUUUAAGCCAGACUGUGGCGGAGUUUUAUAAAGUAAACCGGUUAUUAAAUAAAGUAGUUCUUAAGUAACUUAUCUCUGGCCAUGAUCAAUGACCCAAUUAUAAAGAAUUAAUUUAAUUUUCUCAAGAAAUAAAGUCUAAGGCCUGCUGUUUAAUUCAUUUAACUGUUCAAUCAAAAAAUGAAUGCAAUUGAAAACGCAUUUCGGAUCAGCUAUCAGUCUUCAUAGGCUGAGAAAUUGAUUUUUUUUUUUUUUUUUUUUGUAAGCUUGCGUGCGUAAUGACAAAUUGUUUGCCUCAGUUAGUAAAAUAUAUGAAUAUAGCUGUAUUUUAAGACAUUGUAACUUGUAAAGCAACAUAUUUGUUUGCAUUGUUCAUGAUAUAUUUUUAAUUACAACGGUGACAGGAUAAAUGCCAUGUGGCUGUGAGUAAACACCACGAGCGAAGCAGUGCAGUCAUUACUGGAUCAGAUGCAUGACACCGCCCUCUACUGGACAGGCAAACAAAUAGCCAAAGAUGAAGCUGUAAAAAACACAAUAAAUCUUUUACAAAUGCCA